rnacentral:rRNA from 1 species
AUACGGAGGGUGCAAGCGUUAAUCGGAAUUACUGGGCGUAAAGCGUGCGCAGGCGGUUUGUUAAGUCAGAUGUGAAAGCCCCGGGCUCAACCUGGGAACUGCAUUUGAUACUGGCAAACUAGAGUGUGGUAGAGGGAAGUGGAAUUCCUCAUGUAGCGGUGAAAUGCGUAGAUAUGAGGAGGAACACCAGUGGCGAAGGCGACUUCCUGGACCAACACUGACGCUCAUGUACGAAAGCGUGGGUAGCAAACAGGAUUAGAUACCCCAGUAGUCC